UUUUUUUUUUUUUUUUUUUUUGUUCUUUUUGAGACAGGGUCUCACUCUGUCACCCAGGCUGGAAUGCAGUGGUGCAAUUACAGCUCACUGCAGCCUCAAACUCCUGGGCUAGGGCAUUCCUCUCACCUUAGCUAGGACCACAGGCGCACUCCACCAUGUCUGGUUAAUUUUUUCAUGUUUUGUAGAGACAAGCUCUUGCUUUGUCACCCAACCAGAAGCCAGGUUGGUGUUGAACUCCUGGGCUCAAGAGAUCCUCCCGCCUCAGCCUCCUGAACUACUGGGAUUACAGGCGUGAGCCACCUCGCCCAGCCUCAGAUAGUCCCUUAAAGGGCGAUUAGAAAGCUGAGGGCAAAGACAGAGCUGGACACAAAGGACAUGUGAUCAAAGCCGACUGCUUCGAUGGGCAGUGAAGGCCAUUGAGAAGCCUCCUAAUGUAAACACUGUUCAUCCGUUUAUCAAUUGUUGGAAUUAAUCUUGCAGAUAAAGCACAGGAGUCUUCAGUGUGGGCGUGGGAGGGAGUAUAAAUGUUCCACACUUUGCCAGUGGGAAAAUGGGAAGUACAAGUGGCGAGAGUGGGCGUACUGGUCUUUCUGCCUCCCCCAGUGUGAGUCCCAGGACAUUGCUGAGGGUCCAGAAGUCUAAGUUAACUGAGAAGGAGCAACAUGAGCUUAUUCUUUAGAGGUACUGACCUGUCUCUGAUUCACUCUGGGAAAUAGGGCUAAGGACAGGCAGGAAGAGGGCAGGGGAAUCUGGAUUUUCCGUGAAAGCCUUACCCAUUUGAUGUUAAAUAUAUGCAUGUGCUAUUUCAAUUAAAAACCUAAUUCUUUCAAAAAGAUAUCAGACCCAGAAUUUAAGCAUAUCAAAAGCGGGAGUUUCAUAUUUUAAGCUCCUAUCCUUCUCUUUGAUACGGUUAAAAAGCUCUGCAUCCUAAUGAAGUCGGCUGUCAGUAGGAUGGGCUGGCAGCCACAGCGUAAAGCCUCCCCCAAAACCUGACACAAGAAUCUACAUCCCCAUCGAGCAGAAGCCAGCUUUAGGUAUGCACCAUUCCAAGUGUCUUUCUCAUGCAGAUAAACUGGGAAGGGAUUACAGGUGUGAGAUCAUAGCAUACUUGCCCCUUUCAGUAUAAAGACUUUUGAACUGUAACAACAACAAUGAAAAAUACACUACUCGAGCUUUGGAAAUAGCAAUCUUUCUUCUCUUGAUCUUCUUGCCAAAGACUCUUGCUUUCCUUCCAAGACAACCUCCUCAAAGCAGUUACAAUGAUCUGAUCAUGAAAUCCUAUCAUGUCACUCCCUGGCUCAAAAUCCUUCUUGGCUCUCCGUGGGUUACAGGACAAAAUUUACACCCAGCUGCUGGCCCCUUUUAGCUUGGGUUCAUUUCCCACUUGCCACAUUGCAGUUUCCUCAGGCAAACUGAGUUUCCACAGUUUCACUCAUCACAACCUUGCAGGUGCUGUUGCUCUUGCCCACAAUGUCCUCCUUAUCUCUGGCCAGCCCAACAGACUCAGCAUUUCUGCUUCCAAGAUUCAUCUCAAGUCCUGCCUCAGUGGGAAUGCCCCCUGAUUUGUCCCGAUGGACUUACCCCUCUAAUAAUCAUUGCAUUGAAUUUUCUUUCUCUCUCUCUCUCUCUCUCUCUCUCUCUCUUUCUCUCUCUCUUUCUUUCUUUCCUGAGACAGAGUUCUGCUCUGUGGCCCAGACUGGAGUGUAGUAGUAUGAUCUCAGUUCACUGCAAUCUCCACCUCCCAUGUUCAAGCAAUUCUUGUGCCUCACCUGCUGCUAAUCCACUCUUGAUGAUUAAACUCCCAACCCACACAGAGGCAACCCUUCCCUAUUGCAGAUCAGGUCUGUGGGAGGGCUGCACGGCGGGCCUUGAACCCGUACUUCUCUUCCAGGCCCAGCAGAUGCAUCCCAAGCAAGCUGAACUGGGUGCAGGGCAAGUCGCACGGGAGCAUCUCCACAAAAAGUAAAGAGUUCCAAACUCCAAAUGCUUGACCCCACCCUUAGAAUCAUCUCAAUCCAGUGACAUUCCACAGAGAUGAAAGAAUGCGAAUGAUCCUUGACGAUGCCAGAUGAGACUCGAUAGAAUCUGCGGUGCAAAAGAAAGAGACAGCCACCUUCUAAUUCCACCUCCACAUUUCUUAGAGAUUAAUGAUGAGGGUGAACUACUUGGCAAAGGAAUCCUUUCCAGUGUUAAGAGUCUAUAUGAUUCCAGGAAAAUCCAAAGCAGUAUUGGGUCCUACCUAUUUAAUAUGUACCCCAGGAACUCUGGCACAGGUAACCUUGAAAGGCAUCCUCAACUGCUCUGCUCUGAGUUCCUGAGGGCUGGGUAGCCUGCGGGUGCCAUUAUCAGACUUAUCUCCCCAGGCUCUUCCGCAUUGCAUGUCUCAACCAACCUACCUGGAACCCUGGAGGAAGAGAUCACCUCUAGACAGGAGAGCAUACCAGUUAGGACACAUAGAGGGUCUUUCAAAUCCCGGUAUGCCCUGCUACUGGUUAGCUGUAAACCUUGGGAAGACACUUAGCUCUCUGCCUCAGUUUCUCCAUCUGUACAACAGAGAAAUUACUAUGGAUCAACCACUGCAACUGUUGUGAAGAUUAAGUAUACAGGUUGAAUACAGAUGCAGAGUGCUCAGAGCAAAGCCUGGUGACAGAGCUAUCUACAAGCUCACUAACAGACAAGGAAAGCAAGAUCCAAGAGGAGGCCAGUGACCAGCCUCAUUUUGCAGACAUGGGGCUCACACUUGGAUCCCAGGACUCCAGAGCUGGGAAGAGAAAAACCAAAGUGACGUGUACCAUGAGCUUCUACAACUGUAAAGCACCCUUGCUCCUUCAAUGACGAUUUACCGAGCACUGAUUUUGCUAUAGCCCCAGUACCAGUGUGCCUACCCUGGGGCUCACAAGCCAAUUACAGAGCAACUAGCGCUCCAGCAGGGACCACAUAACAAGACCCCAUCUAUACUAAAAAUAAAACAAAUUGGCUGGGAGUGGUAGCACAUACCUGCAAGUCCCAGCUACUCGGGAGGCUGAGGCAGGAGCAUCCCUUGAGCCUGGGAGAUAGAGGCUGUUGUGAGCUAUGAUCAUGCCACUGCCCUCCAGCCUAGGCGACAGAGUGAGAAAGACAGAGAGAAUAACCAGCACUUAUUGAGCACCUACAACAUGCCAGCUCUGGGAAAGCCUACGUUCACGUCAUUCUACUCUCACAACAAGGUAAGGAUCUAGCGAGUACUAUUUAUUUUCUAGUUUUACAGAUGAGGACAUGGAGGUUCUAGAGGGUAAGUAACUUGCUGAGAUCUCAGAGUUUUGAAGCGGAAGACGGGGAAUUCAAAUCAACGCUGCUGGAACUGCAGAGCGCACCCUUAUCCAUUAUGCAUGACUGCCUUCCAACAGAUGUCAGCAAUUUUUUGUGGCUUCUGGUGGUCUCUCACCGAAUAUCUGAAUAACACAGAACGCCAGCAGAGCCCUCAUUUAUAAAAAGCCCAGGCGCUGAGCCUGACGUAAUACAUGAAUGAAUAAAUCCUGCUGAUGAACCAGGUCCCUCUCCUGCAAGAGAGACCUGCCUGCUCUCCCUUCUUACAAUCUGGGUCUCAAGUGUGGAUAGAUGUCAGGCAGGGGGCAGCACAGGAAUUAACAGCUAUUGAUUCCUCAUUGAGAUAUCCGGAGCAGGGUGGGGCCUCUUGGGAGCCCCUUCUAUUCAGUUGCGAUAUUUUUCUGUUUUUGAAAGGCUUAUCUUGGCAGGGAGGUAUCCAAGCUCAAGGGGCCAGAAAGCACACGUCUACAGGAGGAGGCCCCAACAGGCCUACAUUUCAAGCCCAAAAUGGGAAGCCCGGAAGGAAGUGGGGUGAAAUCCCACCUGGGUAAGUCAAGAUCACCUUGAGGAAAGCCACAAUCCAGCCGGACUAUGAUCCUGCCUGGCGUCUUUGGCCCAUGUUGAGGGGAAGUAAACUGGGCCCAGGUUGUUUCCCUUCUGCUACUUACUGCCCCUCUCCUGGGCGUCAGUUCUGCCUCCGCAAGUGUAACUGAUCUUUAAACACCAACAGGAACAAGGCAAACAGCAGGGAGCACUUACUCUGUGUUUAUUAUUUCCAGGCUGUGAGUUAAUCUCUGUGCACGCUGUAUCUUUCUCUCUCUCUUUUAUUUUUUCUGAGACAAGGUGUCACUCUGUUGCAGCUCACUGCAGCAUCGACCUCCCAGACUCAAGCAAUUAUCCCGUCUCAGCCUCUGGUAGCUGGGACUGCAGGCACAUGCCACCACACCCAGCUAAUUUUUUUUGUAUUUUUCAUUUUUGUAGAGACAGGGUCCAACUAUGUUGCCCGGGCUGGUCUCCAACUCCUGAGCUCAAGUGAUUCUCCUACCUCAGCCUCCCAAAGUGCUAGAAUUACAGGCAUGAGACACCAUGCCAGGCCUCUAUCUUAUUUAACCCUUAGGAAAAUACAGACUCAAUUCACAGACGGGGAAACUACUGAGGUAGAGAGAUUUUUAAGUUCAUGGCAUAAUAAAUUAAGUAGCCAGGCGUGGUGGCUCACGCCUGUAAUCCCAGCACUUUGGGAGGCCGAGGUGGGAGGAUCACGAGGUCAGGAGAUCGAGACCAUCCUGGCUAACACAGUGAAACCCCGUCUCUACUAAAAAUACAAAAAAUUAGCCAGGCGUGGUGGCAGGCACCUGUAGUCCCAGCUACUCCAGAGGCUGAGGCAGGAGAAUGGUGUGAACCUGGGAGGUGGAGUUUGCAGUGAGCCAAGAUCAUGCCACUGCACUCCAGCCUGGGCAAUAGAGCAAGACUCUGUCUCAAAUAAAAUAAAAAUAAAUAAAUAAAUAAAUAAAUAAAUAAACUAAGUAAUAAAAUGAGGCAAAGGCCCAGAAGGUCUAUGUCCCUCCUGUUCCAGAACAGCACUCUCAACCAUCACACCAGGGGCAUUUCUUUUGAGAUGACUGAUGAAGGUGAACUGCUUGGCCAAAGAAGUCCAUUCAAAAUUUGAGAGUCUACAAUCCUAGGAAAAUUCAACAGCAGUACUGGGUCCUAGCUAUAUACUCCGGAAAUUCUGGCAUAGGCAACCAGAUGUGUGAAAUGCCCACAGCACCACUGUUUGUAUCGGGAGGGGGUGGGGGGACACCUGCAAACAACUCACAUGUCCUUGGAGAACAGAUCAAUCAACUGUGGUCAGUCCACACAAUGGAACAGAUUAUCACAGUGAAAAAUAAGCUACAGCAGCAGGCAUCAGCAAAGACUUACCAACAUGAUGCAGAGUGGCAAGGAAGCUACAAGCAGCAUGGAAUUUCUGUAAAGCUCUUAAAAAAGUAAAGGAAACACCACAGUAUUUAAGAAUACAAACAGGAGGCCACAGGGUGGAUCACUUGAGGUCAGGUGAUCGAGACCAGCCUGGCCAACAUGGUGAAACCUCGUCUCUACUAAAAAUCAAAAAUUAGCCAGGCAUGGUGGCAAGCGCCUGUAAUCUCAGCUACUCAGGAGGCUGAGGCAGGAGAAUUGCUUGAACCUGGGAGGUAGAGGUUACAGUGAGCCGAGAUCAUGCCAUUGCACUCCAUCCUGGGUGACAAGAGCAAAACACUGUCUCAAAAAAAAAAAGAAAAAAGAAUACGCAUUUUUUUUUUCAUCCGUGACAUGAUAAACAUCAGCAUUCAAGAUAGGAGUUGGCCUGGCACAGCGGCUCACUCCUGUAAUCUCAGCACUUUGAGAGGCCGAGAUAAGAGGAUCUCUUGAGCCCAGGAGUUCGAGACCAGCCUGGGUAACGUAGCGAGAUCCUAUCUCAACAAAAAGAAAAUCAGGGCCACCAAUGAGGGAGAAUGCUCGGGGGGCAGGCCCGGGAGAAAACUGAAAAGAAGAUGGAGUUGGAGUCAACCAUCAGUGUUCAUAGUUUGGAUCCUAGGCAGGGUGGAGAGGUCAUGGGUAUUUAUUUACCAUUAUGCUUCCCAACUGGCCUGUAGGUGACAACUAUAAUUUUGUUUGUUUGCUUGUUUUGAGACAGAGUUUCCCUCUGUUGCUUAGGCUGGAGUGCAGUGGUGUGAUCUCAGCUCACCACAA
ensembl:lncRNA